ensembl:misc_RNA Metazoa_SRP Metazoan signal recognition particle RNA
GCUGGGCGUGGUGGCACGCGCCUGUAAUCCCAGCUACUUGGGAGGCUGAGGCAGGAGAAUUGCUUGAACCCGGGAGGCGGAGGUUGCAGUGAGCCGAGGUCGCGCCAUUGCACUCCAGCCUGGGCAACAGAGCAAGAUCCUGUCUCAA